rnacentral:rRNA from 1 species
GAUGAACGCUGGCGGCGUGCCUAAUACAUGCAAGUAGAACGCUGAAGGAGGAGCUUGCUCUUCUGGAUGAGUUGCGAACGGGUGAGUAACGCGUAGGUAACCUGCCUGGUAGCGGGGGAUAACUAUUGGAAACGAUAGCUAAUACCGCAUGACAACAGUUAUUGCAUGAUAACUGUUUAAAAGGGGCAACUGCUCCACUACCAGAUGGACCUGCGUUGUAUUAGCUAGUUGGUGAGGUAACGGCUCACCAAGGCGACGAUACAUAGCCGACCUGAGAGGGUGAUCGGCCACACUGGGACUGAGACACGGCCCAGACUCCUACGGGAGGCAGCAGUAGGGAAUCUUCGGCAAGGGACGGAAGUCUGACCGAGCAACGCCGCGUGAGUGAAGAAGGGUUUCGGAUCGUAAAGCUCUGUUGUAAGAGAAGAACGAGUGUGAGAGUGGAAAGUUCACACUGUGACGGUAUCUUACCAGAAAGGGACGGCUAACUACGUG